rnacentral:sRNA from 1 species
AGGUGGCGGAUCGAGGAGGAAAUAACGCGGCUUCGGGUUCUGGUGUCUCCCGGUCUGCUAAAGCCCUAAGGCCAUCACCAUGGACUUCCAGCAUCGCCCCGGGGGCAAGACCGGGAGCGGGGGUGUGGCCUCCUCCUCCGAGAGCAACCGUGACCGCAGGGAGCGCCUCCGGCAGCUGGCCCUGGAGACCAUCGACAUCAACAAGGACCCGUACUUCAUGAAGAACCACCUGGGCUCCUAUGAAUGCAAGCUCUGCCUGACGCUUCACAACAAUGAGGGGAGCUACCUGGCACAUACCCAGGGGAAGAAGCACCAGACCAACCUGGCCCGGCGAGCAGCCAAGGAGGCCAAGGAGGCCCCUGCCCAGCCCGCGCCUGAGAAGGUCAAGGUGGAGGUGAAGAAGUUUGUGAAGAUCGGCCGCCCAGGCUACAAAGUGACCAAGCAGAGAGACUCGGAGAUGGGCCAGCAGAGCCUCCUCUUCCAGGUGAGAUCAGGGACUUGGGCGUGGGGGGCGGCCAAAGGCACCCGAGAGGCGGCACUGCCACCUGGCUGUGUCCCUGCAGAUUGACUACCCUGAGAUCGCCGAGGGCAUCAUGCCACGCCACCGCUUCAUGUCUGCGUACGAGCAGAGGAUCGAGCCUCCGGACCGGCGCUGGCAGUACCUGCUCAUGGCCGCCGAGCCCUAUGAGACCAUUGCCUUCAAGGUGCCGAGCAGAGAGAUCGACAAGGCGGAAGGCAAGUUCUGGACACACUGGAACCGGGAGACCAAGCAGUUCUUUCUCCAGUUCCACUUUAAGAUGGAGAAGCCCCCGGCUCCACCCAGCCUCCCCGCCGGCCCCCCUGGGGUGAAGCGGCCUCCACCCCCGCUGAUGAACGGUCUGCCCC